GUAGAGACGAGGAUACUGCGCCCGCAGGACAGGCUGGGGGCGGGGAAGAAGGCCUGCCUGGGGCGGGGCACUUAAGCCUUGAGAGACACUGCUGUGGUCGCUGCAGAGAAGGGGCCACGUGCUGGGAGCCGCGGCCGGGGAGCUGCACAGAAGGCGGGGAGAUUUGCAAACUGUUGCUGCCACAUGGCUGCUUCAUUCGAUCCAUUCACAUUGAAAUGAGGCCGGCGCGUGCCUCAUCUGCCGCAGGGCGCUGCCACGCGUCAGGCUGGCCCGCCGCGUGCCAACUGGGGCAGUGGGGCUGGCAGAGCCUGGCAGUCAUGGGGGCGCAGCUCGGGCCCUGAGGCCAGGAGGGGGUAGGGGAAGGGAAAUGAACUACUCUAGUCACUGAGGCGCCGCAGAUUCUCGGACCUUGGCCCUGCUUUUAGGAGUGAACCGACAGAAAGGCCCAAGACGAACGGUUUCAGAGGGGGGCCAGGAUCGAUGCCGCCGCUCCCCGCAGAUGCGCCCCGGCAGCGCUGCUCUCCAUCUGCCGCUGCUCGCACCUGCCGGUCAAUAAAUCGAUUUUACAAUUUAAUGCAGCAGCUUCCCGCCCGCCUCGGACAGAUGCCGCCGCAGAAGCACCUCCGCCCUUUCCCCUCCCCUUGAGGGGCGCCAGCGGUUAGGAACCGGUUUCCCGCUUAGCAAGCAGCGCCCCGCAGCGCGGCGCACUUUUCCCUACUGCCCCUUAGAGAAACUGCGUACUAGGAGUUUUUGCCCAGGGUCAGAGUGGAUUCCCCAGAGAAGAUGCCUGAGGCGGAGGGAGGAGAGAGGAAGAUGAUGACUUAGCAUUGGCCUGGAGGACUAGCCGGGGGGCUUCAAGGAAGGAACAGGAUGCAGGAACUGAUGAUAAAAUCCGAGGACUAGGGAGAGAAGAGGAGCGUGGUAUCUUAAGUCACAAUGGACUCUGAAGUCUGAAGAGGAGGACUGAGCAAGGAGAGCACUGAGGCAAUAUGAAGACAACCCGAGGCCACCUUGGGGGCGGGGCACAAAUGAAUUUCAGAGGCAGAGGAAAAGGCCGACAGACAGACAAACUCCUCAGGGAAGAGGCAAGAGGAGCAGAUUGGAGGAGGGGAAAGAGCAGAGAGAGAAAAGUCAAGGUUUCAGGGCCUUUUUUGUAGGCCUGUGAUAAGGUUCUUGCCUGAACAACCCGGAGAAUAGCUGCCUAGACUUUGACCUUCUAGAGGAUACCUUCUCACCGAGACAACCCUACUGCUGAUGUUGGUCUUUCAGAACUGUGAUCUGCAGAAAGGAAGAGGUGUCACCUUUGGAUGAUCUAAUUAGUGAGGGUGCCGGCCACCCAGAGGGGCCCAGCUUUUCUCAUGCCUCUACGAAAGCCCACCUCCUGGGUUCACUGUCCACUGGCUGAUUGCUCAUGCCUGAUGACCCAACAUAUGUUAUAUAAAGGGUGCCCAAGUGGGCAGGAUUACUGGGCAUGGUAGAGUGCUGCUUGGGUUUCUCCUAAGGCCAGGAAGGUCUCCCAUCUCCUCUUCCAGGGUCCCAGGCACCUAGGGCCUGGAAUAGUUUCAUAGUUUCCUUGGCCUUCCCAGAGCGCAUGGAGCCUGGAACUGAGGGGAGUUUUCUUUCUCAUUAAGAGCAUCUAGAGCGGGGUUGGGGAUUUAGCUCAGUGGUAGAGCACUUGCCUAGCACACGCAAGGCCCUGAGUUCUGUCCCCAGCUCCGAAAAAAAAAAGAAAAGAAAAGGAAAAAAAAAAAAAAAAAGAGCAUCUAGAGCCUGCAGAGACAGUAGGCCUGAGAGGAGAAGCCAAGGAUUCCAGAAGCUUGUUUUUGACUGUGUGUACUGAGUAGGAAGCUUUCUUAUGGCCUCUUCGGUGCUGGUUAAAAGGAAAGAAGGUGGAACGGGCACAGACUUGGCAGAACUGAGGUAAACCUGGUAGCAAAGGCCAACUUGACGACGACCCCCCAGCUGCCUCAGCCACAUCUGCCAAACCCAGGAGAUGCCUGGAAAGCCAGGUCCAGGAACAACACAGCCAGCGGGUAUUUCCAGCCAGAGGGGAGGCUGGGGCUUAAGGCAACUUCCAUGGCAUUUUGCCCAGAGCCCUGGUUUCCCCUUCCCCAGUUCCUUCCUGUCCAUACUCUACCAAUGAGCAGGGAGGCAUGGGACAGGAGGGGAAGGCUCAGGGCUACCUCACUGAGGGACCACGGGCUUAACCAGAAGUAGUGUAACCCCAGCACAUGGAGGCAGAAGAAGAAGGAUUAGGAGUUCAAGGCCAUCCUUAAUUGCAUAACACUUUCAAGUUUUCUGG
ensembl:lncRNA